GAUGAACGCUAGCGGCAGGCCUAACACAUGCAAGUCGAGGGAGGAGCUUUCGGGCUUCGACCGGCGUACGGGUGCGUAACGCGUAUACAAUCUGCCUUUCACAUAGGGAUAGCCCGAAGAAAUUUGGAUUAAUACCUAAUGGUAUAUAGGAGUGGCAUCACAUUUAUAUUAAAGCUGAGGCGGUGAAAGAUGAGUAUGCGUUCUAUUAGCUAGUUGGAGAGGUAACGGCUCCCCAAGGCGACGAUAGAUAGGGGUUCUGAGAGGGAUAUCCCCCACACUGGUACUGAGAUACGGACCAGAAUCCUACGGGAGGCAGCAGUGAGGAAUAUUGGACAAUGGUCGGAAGACUGAUCCAGCCAUGCCGCGUGCAGGAAGACGGCCUUAUGGGUUGUAAACUGCUUUUGCAGGGGAAGAAUAAGGACUACGAGUAGUUUGAUGACGGUACUCUGCGAAUAAGCAUCGGCUAACUCCGUG
rnacentral:rRNA from 1 species